AUGAUCAGAUUUUUCUAUAAAUUCAUCAUCAGUGUGUGCUUCCUCUCAGGUUCUUUGAUUUGUAAAGAUGUUCAUCAAGGUCCUGCUGAUGUGUUGUGUUUGCCUGAAGAGAAUGUAACUCUAACCUGUAACCACAGCAUCCCAACUUAUGACACAAUACUGUGGUAUCAGAAAACACAUGGAGACACAGGCCUGAAACUCAUCGCAUAUGUUUAUUAUAGCAACCCAACAUAUGAAGGAAAUUAUGAAGGUAGUUUUACAGUGAGUGGAGAUGGACAGUCAUCAGCGUCUCUACAAAUGCCCAAAGCUACCCAAGCGCUGCACACUGCUCUGUACUUCUGUGCAGCUUAUUACACACAGUGUCACACACGUCCUCUCCUCAAAACAAAAACCUGUCUCUAA